UGCCUUAUUGUUUAUGUUUAUGUUUAUUCAUAGCGGGUAGAUAAUUAUUUGCAUGAGAUGUAGAUAAUUAAAUGAAAAAGACCUAAAUUAAAUCUUCUCAAAAAUAUUAAGUCUAGCGGUCUUCCAUCGUAGUAGAGCUGCUAAGGUCUUUCCGGCGUUGAUUUGUCUCGGCUGGAUACAGUGGGCAAGUUGCAUCGGGGGACUGGACCUCUCUAUUAGGCAUGAGAUAUUGUAGGGGUAAAGAUG
rnacentral:lncRNA from 1 species